UACGAAGGGGGCUAGCGUUGCUCGGAAUUACUGGGCGUAAAGCGCACGUAGGCGGCUCUUUAAGUCGGGGGUGAAAUCCUGGAGCUCAACUCCAGAACUGCCUUCGAUACUGAAGAGCUCGAGUCCGGGAGAGGUGAGUGGAACUCCGAGUGUAGAGGUGAAAUUCGUAGAUAUUCGGAAGAACACCAGUGGCGAAGGCGGCUCACUGGCCCGGUACUGACGCUGAGGUGCGAAAGCGUGGGGAGCAAACAGG
rnacentral:rRNA from 1 species